UCUUUAGCAACAGUCACACCAUCAUUAACUAUUUUGGGAGAGCCAUACUUGCUUUCAAGAACAACAUUUCGGCCUUUAGGUCCGAGAGUAACCCCAACUAGAUCUGCAAGUUUAUUCACGCCAGUUUGCAAUUUCUUAAUUGCUGAUCCAUCCUUAUUGAAAUGCAACUCCUUGGCCAUGGCAAACACCUUAGGUGAAGGUGGCCUACGUAAAACUACAUUCUGUCUCCUACCCAAUGAGCUUCCAGAAAUGGAGGCAAAAGAUGACAACCUGUUUGAAGAUGCAAGUUUCUUAUCCAUCACACAGCCAUUAGCUGCAGCCAAGGAUCCAACCGAGGACAUAGCAGUAAAGGUGUACGCCAUUUACUAUUUGAUACCCGAGAAAUCCGACAGCAGAGGUUGCUGUGGGCGUAGGAGAUUAGGGUUUUAGAAAUGGAAGGUCGGAUAAGAGGCGUCGUAUUACCCUUACUGUGAAACAGCAGUCUG
rnacentral:misc_RNA from 1 species